rnacentral:sRNA from 14 species
GCGAUGAGCUGAAUUGUGUAAGUCGAGGGACGAGCUUUCUAAGCAACGUGCGAUGUGGCGCGCGGUCUCUCGCCUCAAUACGCAGGCGCCUGUUUUCGAACAGGCGC